AACCUUUGCUGUCUUGGGACGGAUCACCGCUGCAAGAGGGGAAGUUGCUACUGUGAUGAAUUCUGCCAUGUGGCACCAGACUGCCACCCAGACCACAGUGUCCUCUGCAACCCUGGUAACUCACAUACAGGCCCGAUUCCACCUACAGCAAAGCUGGAUGCGAUGGCUGGCAGAGGCAAACCCUUUGCCUGCACUUCAGGCCAAAGCCGGGAUGUGGCCUAGAUGGUUCCUAAGCUUCUCAGAUGACCAAGAUGGUGCUGCAGAUGGUGCUGAGGAUGGAGAACCCACCAAGCCCCGCUAGGAGCCACCUAGACUGGAUGCAGAGCAUGGCUAAAACCUUUGAAGAAGAAUUUAUUAUAUCCUACAAACCUGGGAGGCAGAGGUUGCAGUGAGCCAAGAUUGGGCCAUCGCACUCCAGCCUGGGCAAUAAGAAUGAAACUCUGUCUCAAAAAAAACAAAAGUUGGCCAGGGCUGGGCGUGGUGGCUCACACCUGUAAUCCCAGCACUUUGGGAGGCUAAAGCAGGUGGAUCACCUGAGGUCAGAAGUACGAGACCAUCGUGGCUAAUAUGGUGAAACCCCAUCUCUACUCAAAAUACGAAAAAAGAAAAAAAAAA
rnacentral:lncRNA from 10 species